rnacentral:rRNA from 1 species
UACAGAGGGGUGCUAGCGUUGUUCGGAAUUACUGGGCGUAAAGGGCGCGUAGGCGGCUUGUUUAGUCGGGUGUGAAAUCCCGGGGCUCAACCUCGGAACUGCCUUUGAUACUGGAUGUCUGGAGUUCGGGAGAGGUGAGUGGAAUUCCGAGUGUAGAGGUGAAAUUCGUAGAUAUUCGGAGGAACACCAGAAGCGAAGGCGGCUCACUGGCCCGAUACUGACGCUGAGGCGCGAAAGCGUGGGGAGCAAACAGG